rnacentral:rRNA from 1 species
AGGACGAACGCUGGCGGCGUGCCUAAUACAUGCAAGUCGAGCGAAUGAUUAGAGAAGCUGCUCUCUCUGAUUUAGCGGCGGACGGGUGAGUAACACGUGGGUAACCUACCCUAUAGACUGGGAUAACUUCGGGAAACCGGAGCUAAUACCGGAUAAUACUUCGAAACACAUGUUUUGAAGUUGAAAGAUGGUUUCGGCUAUCACUAUAGGAUGGACCCGCGGCGCAUUAGCUAGUUGGUGAGGUAACGGCUCACCAAGGCAACGAUGCGUAGCCGACCUGAGAGGGUGAUCGGCCACACUGGGACUGAGACACGGCCCAGACUCCUACGGGAGGCAGCAGUAGGGAAUCUUCCACAAUGGACGAAAGUCUGAUGGAGCAACGCCGCGUGAGUGAAGAAGGAUUUCGGUUCGUAAAACUCUGUUGCAAGGGAAGAACAAGUAGCGUAGUAACUGGCGCUACCUUGACGGUACCUUGUUAGAAAGCCACGGCUAACUACGUGCCAGCAGCCGC